rnacentral:ncRNA from 2 species
AACGUGCUCCGGGGUCAGUGAAAGUCUGAACCGGCGGUGACAGUCCGCGACCCGCGCAAGCGGUUGACAGGGUGGAAUUCCUUGACCGACGGUCAAAGUCCGGAUGGGAGGCGCACGGC